GAUGAACGCUGGCGGCGUGCCUAAUACAUGCAAGUCGAGCGAACGGACUAGAAGCUUGCUUCUCUGAUGUUAGCGGCGGACGGGUGAGCAACACGUGGAUAACCUACCUAUAAGACUGGGAUAACUUCGGGAAACCGUAGCUAAUACCGGAUAAUAUUUUGAACCGCAUGGUUCAAAAGUGAAAGACGGUCUUGCUGUCACUUAUAGAUGGAUCCGCGCUGCAUUAGCUAGUUGGUAAGGUAACGGCUUACCAAGGCAACGAUGCAUAGCCGACCUGAGAGGGUGAUCGGCCACACUGGAACUGAGACACGGUCCAGACUCCUACGGGAGGCAGCAGUAGGGAAUCUUCCGCAAUGGGCGAAAGCCUGACGGAGCAACGCCGCGUGAGUGAUGAAGGUCUUCGGAUCGUAAAACUCUGUUAUUAGGGAAGAACAUAUGUGUAAGUAACUGUGCACAUCUUGACGGUACCUAAUCAGAAAGCCACGGCUAACUACGUG
rnacentral:rRNA from 1 species